rnacentral:rRNA from 1 species
AGCGAACGCUGGCGGCAGGCCUAACACAUGCAAGUCGAACGAAGUCUUCGGACUUAGUGGCGGACGGGUGAGUAACACGUGGGAACGUGCCCUUUGGUACGGAAUAACUCAGGGAAACUUGAGCUAAUACCGUAUGUGCCCUUCGGGGGAAAGAUUUAUCGCCAUUGGAGCGGCCCGCGUCUGAUUAGCUAGUUGGUGAGGUAAAGGCUCACCAAGGCGACGAUCAGUAGCUGGUCUGAGAGGAUGAUCAGCCACAUUGGGACUGAGACACGGCCUAAACUCCUACGGGAGGCAGCAGUGGGGAAUCUUGCGCAAUGGGCGAAAGCCUGACGCAGCCAUGCCGCGUGAAUGAUGAAGGUCUUAGGAUUGUAAAAUUCUUUCACCGGGGACGAUAAUGACGGUACCCGGAGAAGAAGCCCCGGCUAACUUCGUGCCAGCCGCCGCAGUAA